rnacentral:rRNA from 1 species
UACAGAGGUCUCAAGCCGUUGUUCGGAUUCAUUGGGCGUAAAGGGUGCGUAGGCGGCGCGGUAAGUCGGGUGUGAAAUCUCCGGGGCUUAACUCCGAAACUGCAUCGAUACUGCCGUGCUUGAGGACUGGAGAGGAGACUGGAAUUCACGGUGAGCGGUGAAAUGCGUAGAGAUCGUAGGAAGACCAGUGGCGAAGGCGGGAUCUCUGGACA